rnacentral:lncRNA from 1 species
UCGAAGCAGACAACAAGAAAACUUUGCUUAUAAUAUUGGUAAUUUACUCUGAUAAUUUAUCAGGUUGAAACAAUUAUAGGCAUACUAUAGAUCUAAUGAGCUUUUAACCGACAAACAUGCCAGUUUGACAUAGCAUGAUAAAUAAAUCUCUUAUUUUUGUAAUUUGACAAAAAAAAAAAACUACAAAAAAACACACUCCUGUAUAAGACAACAAAAUACAUAUACAUGUAGACGUCUACUACUUUUGUGAUUCUGUGUCAAUGCUGAAACAUUAUAUUUAUAAAUGUUGAAUUGUUCCUGGUCAGGGGACAAAGCAAUUCACCAAUUAUUGACUGUUUUACCGCCAGUGUUUUUUUUUAUACAUCUACAUCUAUUCAUCUGCAAUGGAAAUCCGUAACACAGAUACUGCUUUGCAAACGUAAACCUGCAUGCUUAGUAUUUCCAAAAUUGGAUAAAAACAGGUGGUUUCUGUUAACAGCUGCAGUCUUCUAAGUUACGUCUUAUGAUUUGAUAGCCAGUUGAGGUGCUACAUUUACAAUGUAUAAAUCAGAAACUUCUAUAGAUAAAAAAAUUCCCAAAUGGAAUUAAUAUUGGGGGCCAAGAACUAAUUGAAACACUUCUUAUACCAUGUACAAUUAACGUUUACUCUAGCUAUUAAUCAACUUUUGUAAUAUAAUAAUUAGACUAUAGAGUAUAGUCUAUACUCUGAAUAAGACACUGUCCACAAUUUCCAUAGAACUCCCAAGAACUGAAUAUUGACAUUUAGUGCAUGGAAAUGUCAUCACAUUUAGAUUAUUGUCUCUGUGUAACAAAAUAUUUUUGUUUUCAUCAUGAUCUGGUAAUCAGCAACAUUUUGUGCAUGAGAAUUGUUUUUGAAAUUUGAUAAAACAAAAAAUGGUUCAAUUAAUAUAUAUACAACUCGUCUAAACAUCAACCCAACAAUGUUAGAUCUGUAAAUUUGCUUUCGCAAAUUUUUUGUUCUUCCCUCGCCGGGAUUUAAAAUAGAAUAGAAUAGAAUAUUUUAUUAUUCCAAUCAAGGGCCCUUGAUGGGCAGCAUAACAUGUACACAUAGAACAAUACAUCAUGAUUUGUAACAGAAAAACAUUUUUAUAUAAUAAAAUGAAACAUUAAAAAAGUUCAGAUAGGUGUUAUUAUCUUCAUUCUAUAAAAAUCAAAUACAUUUAGUUCCAGGCAGGAUGAGAACCAUAAAAUCAUUACAAUUAUCAUUGUUAUUACAUACAUUAAUUAACAUUUUGUCUAACAUCUAGACAUGUAAUAAUAUAGCUCCCUAAAUAUUUAAGUACAGACAAAUUUUCAUUAGUAAAUAACCAAACAAAUUUUGCCUCAUUUGAAAGAUGUAUUCGAACCCAUGCUACUGAGAUAUCGUGACACCAAAUCGCCUGCACUGUAGCUGUCCCGCUAGACCACAGGACCACCUGGGCUUCAUAAAAAUGAAGCUUUCAGUCGCCAGGUGUUACCUUUCCAUGUCAGUUUUAAUCUAGGGUUGUACUAUAGUACAUGAUAUAUAAGGCAUGGAGAUGUUAUUUUUACAGAUCAGCUAAAUUAUCUAUAGUAUAGAAUCCUACAAAUUAAUGUAAGAUACAGUCACAGAAAAUAAUUAUAUUUAUAAGUACGUCUGAGCCAGUGACAACUCUACAACAGAUUUAUAUAUAUAUACAGUGCGAUUAAAAAUACGUCAUUUAAAUUUAAUGGCAGAUCUGAGCCUUGAAAGAUUCAGGACUCAUUAGUACAGUUGGCAAGGUGUUCCACUCCCUAAUUUUUCUAUGAUAGAAAGACUCCUUCUUACAGUUGUUUUACAUGAUAAAAUUAUUACUGCAUGUAUUUUUGAAACUGUUGUUCUAUUGAUUAUCAUUAAAAGUGGCUGCGCUUUAAUAAAUGUAUAUACAACUUGAAAACCCUUUUAUUUUCAUAAAAAAAUAAUAUGAGAGGGAUUUGAAUGGGGUGUCACUUCACCAAAUCAUUAAUAUUGUAACGUGUUCGCUAACCGAUGUGAACCUUUCUAACCAACCACACCAACCACCAGACCAGACAGACACCAACAACAAACCAAAAGACUUUAACAGGAAAUAUGAACGCUCAAAAUAAUAACUAGUAAUACUGCUGCUGUAUACUGCAUGUCACAUAAAUCUAGUUUCUUGGUCGGCGCAGUCUCCUUUUUAUGUGUGUGUGUGUGUUAGACGGGUUGUAUUUUUAUAUGUAAUGCAAUACAAUACCACAUUAGAAUUUACGUUGAGGUCUGAAUGUAAACACGAAAUCGCUUCAAGUGUAUAAAAAGUUUUAUUCACCAGACAUAAUACACCUUAUCGCUAAUCCCGGCUGACCUUGCCGCUUGAACUUUUGACGCAUACAACAAUCACUUUUCCAUUGUGGCGUCAGAUAUUUUGUUUUAUGACGUCAAAAUUUUAAGGGAACCUGUGUGAUAUCCAUUAAUGGCGGACAAAUAGCGAUAAGGUGUAUAUUAAUAACAACUGGAACACGAAUUAACAGCUAUAAAUCUCUUAAAGCAGCAUUCAUCUGUAUAGAUUAGACGAACAGAUAAUGCUCUAAAACAGCUACACCAAAAAUCAACAUUCAAGAAACUCGGAUUUAUCAGCAACUCUCCAUAUAAAUACAUGUAAAAUACUACUCAAAUAAAUAAGUCACAAUUUCGUAACCCUCUUUCUAUAUUAUAAAAAUAUAAAAUGAAACAAACGGACACUUUUGCCGACUUUACAUACCUUUCUCCUAUUUAAAGUUGAAAUUCAUUAUAAAACUUUAUUCUCAAAACUUAUAUGUAUAAAGAAAACAAGAAAACUAUUAAAUUUCUGCCUCUAUUAAAACUUGACUGGAAACUGGAACAAUACACCUUAUCGCUAUUUGUCCGCCAUUACUGGAAAUCACACAGAUUCCCGUAAAAUUUUGACAUCAUUAAACAAAAUAUCUGACGCCACAAUGGAAAAGUGAUUGUUGUAUGCGUCAAAAGUUCAAGCGGCCAGGAUUAGGGAACUGCAUAAAUAAUUAUAUUGUAUAUAAUGCAAUAUUCAGGAACAUAAACUGCUGCUUUAGACAUGUUAGAAAAACUGUACCUUGAAAUUUAUGAGACAUGUAAAUUAAGCUGCUAGCCGGUGGUAGGGACAAGUUGGAACUGACGUAAAAUACUAUAAAUCUUAUGCUAGUGUUGUUAUCUCGCGUGAGAGAAAUUCCAAAUAUAUAGGUAAAAUUAGUGACUAAAUAAGGAAACUUCCUGAUAAGGUAAAUAUCUUUGCACUUAACGUCUGAUCAAAUGACGUCAUUACAGCCCUAUUACUGUGAAAAGGUGUGCAACGUCGGUGCUAAAAUAGUUCAUAAGAAGUUAUUACUCUAAUUUAAAUAAAACUUCCUUCUACCAAAACUUUACAUAAAACACUAACCUUUAUCCCUAUUUUGACAAACAUACAAAAAUAUAACUACAACAUGUUCAGGACAGUCUACAAAUUAUACGAUUUCUAUUGUCACUAUAUUUAUGAUAAUACUCGUGACUUCCGGUAAAAGAGAAAGUGAAAGUAAUGUACAAUUAAUCAAGAAUUGUAGAUUAGAAAACACACGUUUUCUGUCAUUCUGGAACAUACAAUAUUAAAACCAUUAAACAAUACAUAGGUAAUAAUGAAAUAAAAUACACACAUUUACUGCUUUAAUAAAAUAAUACAAAGAAUGAUGGGCAGAAAUAUAGACAAAACAAUAAAUUCUUUUAAAGUUAAAACAUGAAGUCUCCAUUAUACAUAAAGUAUUUACCAGAUUAGCUAAAUAAUAGUUCAACAAAAUAUAGACAAUAUCAAUAAAAAUUAAGGCACUGCUAUCUGUCAAAAACGUCACAAUAUAAACACAUGAUGGCUCAUUAUUAUUAUUUUGGUCUAUGAAUAAUGAUUAGGAAACAACGAAAACAAAACUUCAGUUCACCACAUGAAUACAAUAAGUAUAUAUCAAAGAUUCAUACAGAUAUUAUUGCAAAAAAAUGAUAUUUAUAUACAUUUUGUACAUGUAGAAUGAAAAAAAAACACCUUUGGUUUGGAUGUCCUUUAACUGAUAUUCAAACGAAAUGAUGUCCUUCCUGGAUAAGUACACAUAUAAAUUAACAAUAUUUUAGUUCACUGUUGAGAUUACAACUGUUAAACUUUGCUUUUGAUGCAUUGAUUUCUUUUAUCAUGUUUAUACAUCUGUAUAAUAUUUGACUGAUUAAGUUAUGCAUUUUUGAGGCAAAUGCAUCUAAAGUUGAAAUGUUUUCAUCUAAACAUAAUAAAAGUUCUGUAUUAGCAUAACUUUUUCCAUUGCUUUAACUUGUCAAAGGAUAGUUGUCAGUAACUAAUAAGUCAAUUACAUAGAUUAAGCUCAAUUCUAUUAUUCUAAACAUUUAACCAUUGAACUUUAAACUUCCCCUUUAUCACUACUGCUUUUAAGUUUUAUCGUGAAGAACAUUUAAACAUUAUCUGUUAUAAUGUAAUAGUUAUUAUAAAAAUAAAUAUAAUAACUACGCAUACAUGUAUUUAAGGAUUCAGCAGCAAAAAGUUUUCAGAAAUCUAACAUAUUUAUUUUUGCUCUUUUCAGACAACAGACUCUAACCAUCAUGUCAGAAGAUAGUCACAUACCACACAUUCUGAACCUUAGUAACAGUAUUAUAGGUGUAACAGUGUUAGCCAUGCCAUUUUGUUAUAAAGAGGUAAAAUUAAAAACAAACCAAAAUUUUCUGUUUGUGUCUUUAGACUUUAGUUGUAGUUUUUGAAAUUGAUAAAUACAUGUAUUUUGAAAGACAUAAUUAAGCUCAACAUGGUGAAAGGUCCAGUGCCAUACUGAUUGAAAAGGCAAGAGGGGUAUUGAUAAGCUAAAAGGCCAGAGGGGCAUUGAUACGGGAAAAGAGCCAGAGGGUAUUUAUUGGGUAAAAUGACUAGGGGUUAUAGCAAGUAUAUUAGUUUUCAUCUGAAAUCGUCGUUUUGAUCUUAGCACCAUCUGAAAAGUCUGAUCAAUAGAUUAUUAAGUCUUGUUCCGUUCAGUUCAUUUCAGACUUUUCCCCUGAGGUUACUUCAGGACAAAAUCCUUGCAUAUAAGCAGUCUAUUCAGCACAUCUACCCUAAAAUUGUGAUGUAAGUUAAAGGAUAGGUAAAUUUUGGCUCAAAAUUAUAAUAAUUUAAUUUUCAAUCAGAAAUAGUAACUAUCAUGUGCUUGUUUAAGAAAUGAACAACACCAAAGCACUAUUUGUUGUCAGAUGUGGGCUUUCAAGUGUUAGUGAGUGAAUUGUUUGUGUGGCACCUUUUAGUGGCACAGUGGGGUAUCAUCACAGAAACUAUAUAUAAAUAUGGGAUUAUCCAGGGAAUCAUAUGACAUGUUUUAUUUUUCAUUGUGGUAUAACUGUUGGAACUAUCUUAUUGAUUUAUUUAUUAUUAUAUUUCAGUGUACAAUAUCCUGGGAAUUUAUUAUUAUAUUUCAGUGUACAAUAUCCUGGGAAUUUAUUAUUAUAUUUCAGUGUAUUUCAGUGUACAAUAUCCUGGGUAUUUAUUUAUUAUAUUUCAGUGUACAAUAUCCUGGGAAUUUAUUAUUAUAUUUCAGUGUACAAUAUCCUGGGAAUAUUAUUAUUAUAUUUCAGUGUACAAUAUCCUGGGAAUUUAUUAUUAUAUUUCAGUGUACAAUAAAUAUCCUGAUAAUUAAUUAUUAUUAUAUUUCAGUGUACAAUAUCCUGGGAAUUAUUAUUAUUUAUAUUCAGUGUGCAAUUGUCUUAGGAACUAUUUGUUAUUUUUCUGCUCAUGGCUUACAAUAUCCUAUAUUUCAGUGUACAAUAUCCUGGGUAUUAAUUAUUAUAUUUCAGUGUGGCAUUGUCUUAGGAACUAUUUGUUAUUUUUCUGCUCAUGGCUUACAAUAUCCUGGGAAUUAAUUAUUAUAUUUCAGUGUGGCAUUGUCUUAGGAAUUAUUUGUUAUUUUUCUGCUCAUUGCUUACAAUAUCCUGGGAAUUAAUUAUUAUAUUUCAGUGUGGCAUUGUCUUAGGAACUAUUUGUUAUUUUCUGCUCAUGGCUAACAAUAUCCUGGGAAUUAAUUAGUAUUUUUCAGUGUGGCAUUGUCUUAGGAACUAUUUGUUAUUUUUCUGCUCAUGGCUAACAAUAUCCUGGGAAUUAAUUAGUAUUUUUCAGUGUGGCAUUGUCUUAGGAACUAUUUGUUAUUUUUCUGCUCAUGGCUAACAUUAUCCUGGGUAUUAUUUAGUAUUUUUCAGUGUGGCAUUGUCUUGGGAACUUUUUGUUAUUUUUCUGCUCAUUGCUAACAUUAUCCUGGGUAUUAUUUAGUAUUUUUCAGUGUGGCAUUGUCUUAGGAACUAUUUUAUUAUUUUUGUGCUCAUGGCUAACAUUAUCUUGUGAAUUAUUUAUUAUUUUUCAGCAUGGAAUUGUCUUAGGAACUAUUUUAUUAUUUUUUUGCUCAUGGAUAACAUUAUCUUGUGAAUUAUUUAUUAUUUUUCAGUGUGGCAUUGUCUUAGGAACUAUUUUUGUUAUUUUUCUACUCAUGGAUAACAUUAUCUUGUGAAUUAUUUAUUAUUUUUCAGUGUGGCAUUGUCUUAGGAACUAUUUUAUUAUUUUUCUGCUCCUGGCUAACAUUGUCCUCAUGUCAGAUGUUGAUGAAGGCAGGUUUGUCUUCUAAAAAAAGAUCCUAUGGAUACUUAG